CAGGUACCUGUGGUAGUGAACACAUGUCUUGUGAUCACUAAUACAUUGACAACUCUCCUCAAGUGACAGUUCGAGGUAAACAAUCCAAAAAAUGGGUUCGCAUCAGUUUUGUCCACUGUUUCUGGGAUUUGGAGUCGGAAAUUCCGGGAAUCAAAAAUAAAAAAAGCAGUUUCGUCGCUACUAUUUUGCAAGAAUGAAACAACUUCUACGACCAAUAUUUGUAAGGCACUGGUCAAUAAGCUAACAUAAUACUGUUGAGAAUGGAAAAUCCCCUCGGGUUCACAAAUUUGUCUUCCGACGACGACACCGAUCUCGUCGAUGUACCGAAGAAAGUACAAAAGGAACUCAAUCAACGAGCUCCGUUUGUGGGAAAUUACAAUAAUGAUACGAAUCGCUUACCAGAUGAGGAAUAGCCGUCACCAAAAAAAAAAAAACUCCGCCGCUGACGCUUGCUAAAAUGUUGGAAGUUCCUCCAUCGCAACCUAUUGUGGAAGAAGUGGAAAUCCACCUUAUGGAGUUGAUGGACAAUAUCAUGGUUCACUCCGAGCCAGAACCGAACUCCGAAACAGGCUUUUAACCGUAAUUUUAGCUCUGUUUCACAAAGUUUUGUUGUUCUCUGGAUAAAAAUACGUAUCCAUUAUUUUCUUAAUGAAAUGAUCAUUUUAUCAGUUCUGAAAGCUGA